AUUUAAGUAGUUUAAUUAAAACAUUGAUUUGUGGAGUCAAAGAUAUAGUUUAUUAUUUUAAAUA
rnacentral:tRNA from 1 species